CUUACUGUGGGUUACGGAUCGUGGACCGGGCUCUUUGCGGAGCUUGUGAAGCGCUUCUGUGCCUGCGUUUUAUAACAAACACUUUAAAGUAUCAGAAUGUGUAUUGCGAUGUAACGCAUCCUAUAUACAACUUUCAGCAACGGAUCUCUUGGCUCUCGCAUCGAUGAAGAACGCAGCGAAAUGCGAUAAGUAAUGUGAAUUGCAGAAUUCAGUGAAUCAUCGAAUCUUUGAACGCACCUUGCGCUCCUUGGUAUUCCGAGGAGCAUGCCUGUUUGAGUGUCAUGAAAUCUUCAAUCUACAAGCUUUUUAAAUGGUUUUGUAGGCUUGGACUUGGAGGCUUGUCGGCCUUUAUUGGUCGGCUCCUCUCAAACGCAUUAGCUUGGUUCCUUGCGGAUCGGCUUGUCGGUGUGAUAAUGUCUACGCCGCGACCGUGAAGCGUUUUUGGGCGAGCUUCUAAUUGUCUCAGUAUGGAGACAAUAUUAUGACCUCUGACCUCAAAUCAGGUAGGACUACCCGCUGAACUUAAGCAUAUCAAU
rnacentral:rRNA from 1 species